rnacentral:rRNA from 1 species
CCCUUAGAUGUUCUGGGCCGCACGCGUGCUACACUGAGUGGAUCAGCGGGUCAGGUUACGCGAGAGCGUUUCCUAAUCUUCAAAUCCGCUCGUGAUGGGGAUUGACGGUUGCAAUUUUCCGUCAUGAACGAGGAAUACCUUGUAAGCGCGGGUCAUCAUCCCGCGCUGAAUACGUCCCUGCCCUUUGUACACACCGCCCGUCGCUCCUACCGAUUGAGUGGUCCGGUGAGGCUUUGGGAUCUAAGCGAAAAGAGCGUUUCGCUGUUUCUGCUCGGAAAACUCAGUCGAACCUUAUCAUUUAGAGGAAGGAGAAGUCGUAACA